rnacentral:lncRNA from 1 species
CUUUUGGCAAUGAAUCAAAUGAAAUCAGUAUUUUGAAUUAUGCAUUUUUAUGUAUGUCAAGCAGAAUACUUCUAAAGGCAGUAAGGAUAACAAGACUGUUUUGAUACAUACAAAAAUGCAAAAUCUGGGACUCUGAAUGGCCGUGUGGUCUCAGCUACAACAUAUUGUGUUUUGUCCAAUAAAUUCAAUGGUUUUUUAAAAAGCUUGACUUCUACAGCAAAGCACAUUUUAAUUAAACUGACCCAGAAGUCAAGAGAAGGAAAACAUUUGCUGCAAAGCUCAAUCAUAGCUGCUUGUGUUUGUAAUUAUAAAUAAUGCAAGUCAGCAAGAUGCAUCCAAACUUACAAGAACCUUAAAACAUCCCUAAUACGUGAAGACAUUUAGUUCAAACAUAGGGUUAGGGUCCUGGUCAGGGUGUGAGUUGGGGGGUCAGGGUCAAGGUCAUAAGGUCAGGGUUAGGGUUGGGGCGGUGGUUAGGGUUAUGGUCAGCGUCAGCAUCAGGGUAUCAGUAUCAUAAGGUCAGGUUCUGGGUUAGGGUUAGAGCCUGGGUUAGAGUUAGGGUCAAGUUCAUGGUCAGUGUUAGUGUUACGAUCAGGUUUAGGGCUAGACUUAGGGUCAGGGUCAGGGUCUUGGUCACAGUGUCACAGUGAGAGUCAGCGAUACAGUGAGGGUUAGGGUCAGGGUUCAUGUCAGGAUCACUGGUAGGGUCAGUAUUAAAGUCAGUGUUAGGGUCAGGGUUAGUGUCAGGGUUAUUGGUAGGGUCAGUGUUAGGUAGAGGAUCAGGGUUAGUGUUAGGGUCACAGGAUGAAUGUUAUGGAGCUCCUAGACACUGGGACAGGUUAUGAAGAACACUGGGCUGAGGUGAUCUGCAUCUCCUGCAAAUCUCAUUGCAGCCAUGGGUGUCUGGGACCCCACCCACCCAGCAUGCCUUGGCAGAAGACCCUGCCUUGACCUCAGAGAAGCCCUCUGAGAACAGCUCUUUGUAGAAAGCAGUGCCUGGAUUAAACCUGCUUCUCCCAGGAAGCAUCACCUAUCUAGGUUCAUGCUGUGAGGCACAGAAACACAGAUCUAUCCACCCUUGGCUUUGGCCCCAGGCAUCUCAGAGGCCAGAGCCGUGCUCCACAGCCGCCUGUCUACCCAGUUUCAUUGUCUGCCUUCUCUUCCAAACAGUGAGCACUCCCUGAUUUCUAUUCAAUGCUGGUAGACCUGUUCUAUCUCAAGCGUAAGAAUACAUGUCUUGGCUGGGCACGGUGGCUCAUGCCUGUAAUCCCAACACUCUGGGAGGCUGAGGUGGGUGGAUCACCUGAGGUCAGGAGUUCAAGACCAGCCUAGCCAACAUGGUGAAACCCAGUCUCUACUAAAAAUACAAAAAUUAGCCAUGUGUGGUGGCGGGUGUCUGUAAUCCCAGCUAUUUGGGAGGCUGAGGCAGGAGAAUCACUUGAACCUGGGAGGUGGAGGUUGCAGUGAGCCGAGAUCAUGUCAUUGCACUCCAGCCUGGGCAACAGAGUGAGAUUCCAUCUCAAAACAAACAAACAAACAAACAACACAUGCCUUGGAUAAAGGGAUUGGCCCGUCAAUUAUGGUGGGCCAUUAUUACGGAAUCAUUAUUCCAUGAUUCCAUAUUUGUGGCUUUAUUUUUCUCCUCCUCUGUUCGAUUUUCUUAAACUUUUAAAAACUUGUUUGGCCUCUUUCAGAGAAGACCUGGAAAGGCAAAAAUUGAGUUAAGGACGCCUUCCUUGGGCAGAGAUGGUUUUGCCCAGUGGGGCUACUCAGGGGUUGACCACUCGAGGUCCUGAGUGGGGUCAAGCCAUCUGUUUUGGUUUCUAAGAGGGAACCUUGCUGCAGUGCUCCUAGAGUGGAAGAACUUUGUGGGGCCUGCUGGGCAGGUGGCCUUGGGCAGCCUGAGCUCCCUUAGAGGGUCUCUGCUUCCUGUCUGUCACAAGAUCAGGCUUAAACCAAGGGCCUCUGCUUCUCAUCAACUGGGUUCCUAAUCCACCUGGCUCUGUGCUCUGUGCAGGCAUUGGCUGCUCAGGAAGGAGGUGAGCUGGGCUUUGAAAAAAAUGAGAGCCACAGUGGGGGGCAACCCUGGCCAGAGCCUCCUGUGGCAGCCACAGAAAACACCAUGCACUUCACAGGGAUGUUCUGACCCACGAGGCAUGGCGGACCCGGAUGGUGCCUCCACACAGGGCCUGUCCAGCAGUCCGCAGUGAGGCCACUGAGGGUCUCCUGCCCCUAAGAGGGGAGCCAGGAGAAGCAGGGGCCCAGCCUGUGAGAGCUAUGGCCACCAGAUGGCCAGCCUGGGCCUGAAGCCAGAUAGCCGCUUACAUUGUCAUCCCUCCCAGCCCUCAGCUGCUCAAGGAGGCACCCAGGCCUGGCUAGUGCCAUGCCCAGAGCCCAACCCAAAGUCCUGGCAUGGGGUCUGAAGGGCAGUGGCCAGGAACUGACCAGCUCAUGCCCACCUGGACAAGCAGGAGACAGCCUGGAGGGGCCGGGGCUCAGGGCUGUGACUGCAGGAGCCAGCACCUGAGGUCAGGCAGAUGUGGGUGUGAAGCCCACUUCUCUGCAUCUGCCGGGGCCUGAAGACGGGCAUUGGGUGUCAGAGUCUUCGCGAUGAAUUAGGGAGAGUGCCCAGACCCCCCAUCAGGAGGAGCAGGACAGAAGACCGGGCCUCAGACAUGUAGCACCCCCAGAAGGCUGCAGGAGGGCAAAGGGCAACUGGGGCGGGUAGCCGGAGGGGCUCCUGCGCUACCUGGAGGAGCCCGCAUCUCCCCUCCUCUGCCUUCUCCGCUGGACGCCCUGCUCCCGCCCCCGGGCCCGACACUCCUUCCGCGCCGAUCGCCCCGCCCAGAUCCCAACGCGGGUGUCUACAGACCCCAGUCCCAGGCCGACCACUUCGCCCGGACACGCCCUCUGUCCCCAC